rnacentral:rRNA from 1 species
UGCUUUAAAAAAUAACUUAAAGUAAAACCUGCCCAAUGAAAAAUUAAAUGGCCGCAGUAAUUUAACUGUGCUAAGGUAGCAUAAUCAUUAGUCUUUUAAUUAAAGACUGGAAUGAAUGGUUUAACAUUUCUUAAACUAUUUAUUAAAUAACCAUAAAACCUAUAUUAAAUAUAAAAAUAUAUUUAUAUAUUAAUUAGACGACAAGACCCUAUCAAACUUUACUUUAGUUUAGCUGGGGAGGCUUAUUAAUAAUUAUCUUAAAACAACCCCAUAAAUAGACCCAAUAAAAUUUGAUUAAAUGACCAAGUUACUGCAGGGAUAACAGCAUAAUGAAUUUUAAAAGUUCAUAUUUAAAAAUUAGUUUAUGACCUCGAUGUUGAAUAUUUAAGCUUUUAGGCGCAAGAGUCUUAAAAGCAGGUCUGUUCGACCUUUAAAUUUUUACA